ensembl:lincRNA
CACCUUGGAUAAAUGACCUCUGCUUUCUGAGUUCUGAGUUCCUAAGUUGUAAAAUGGAGGUUAUCACACUUAUCUUACAAGGUUGUUGUUGGGAUUGAAUGAGAGAUAUGGAAGUUGUGUGAUAGAACAGGGUUGGGGAGGCUGUGUUUGGAGAAAUAAGGUCUUGGUCAGCAAUGAACAAUCUGAGAGCUACUUAGUUCAUUUCAUCCUCCCAACCAAGCGCACCUUUAUCCCCAUUUUAGAGAUGAAGAAAUUGUGGUUCAGGGAGGGUAGGCAACUUGUCCCAGGUCACACGAGUAGAAAGUGGCUGAGCUGGCAUUCAAACCCAGGUCUCUCAGGAACUGCAGCACUACACACCUUCCCACACCAGGCAUGUAAUGCAAAUGUGGAUUUUCUUGUUUCUGAACAUAGCGUGUUGGCUGCUCCACGGGGCACAAAGCGGAAGAAACCUUGACUUGCUGAAACUCGCUCGAAGUGCACUGCUUCUUAUCUUUUUCUCAUUUAUCCGCAGACCUCCCCCGCAGAUGGCCAUGGAGGUAGCAAGAUGGCCAAGAAUCUCAGUUAAAGAAAGUUCCAUUUGCUUUCUGUCCAAGAUGAACGUGAUUUUCCAGAAUUCAGCUGGAAAAAAUCCAGGGUGCACUUCUUCCAAGAGAAGGAGCACUUCGGUGGUUUGUGAAAAUCCCUUUUCCCUCAUAUUAAAACCUGAUUUUUACGUCUCCUUCACCCUCCCCUCACUGCCCACCCCAGCAUUUUGGUUUCUGGUGAUGUAUGAGAGAAAAAAAAAUAAAUUCUGUAAUCAGGGAAAUCUGUUGGAGAUAUUAUUCAAAGGGAACAUAUUUACUUACAGAUAAUUUUUUAAACAGGUGGCAAAUAAACCACACAGGAAAACAGUUCUUCAUUUAUUCAUUUAUUUAUUCUAUCAUUGAGUAAAUAUUUAUUGAACACCUGUUAUAUGCCAGGCACUGAGCAUUUACAUCAUAUAUUUCAUCUGAUUUUUUUUGUAAUUGCUUGAGCAAUUUAAUUCUAUCAUUAGAGUGAUAAUGUGAAGGGCUUCUCCCAUAUGAAUGGGUAGUUUCUUAUAGGACUUCCGCUGAGAGAAAAUCAUGUCUAUCCAAUUAAACAAAUGUCCACUCUAUUUUCUAACAACAAAAGUAAUAUAUGCUAAUAGUAAAAAUGCCGAACAAUAUGGACUGAUUCCAUUUAAGAAGUAGCCGCCUUUCUUAAUCCCAACUCCUAGAGAUUUCCACUGUGAAUGGACUGGUAUAUAUUCUUCCAAGUUUCUUUUUAAGCAGUAAACUACAAUAAUAAUACAAUUGUAUUUACAGAAGUGGAAAACAGCACUUCUGUUAUGCAACAUGUGUUAGUCACUUAAUAACUGAACCUACUGUGGUGUGCUUUCCACGCCAGCCCCCAGAGAACCUCCUUGCUGUUUCAAACGGCUGCAUGGUGCUCCAUUGUGUGGCAUCUUUAUUCCAGCAGUUCUCUAUUCAGGACAUCUUGGUCGUUUCUAAUUUGCUAUUAUUACAAGCAAUGCUUCAGUGGACCUCCUUGUAGCUACAUUGGGGUAUUUCUACAACUAUUUCUGUGAAUAGGUUCUUAGAAGUGGAGUUAAUGGGUCCAAGUGAUGAGUGCCUUUUUUUUUUAUUUUGCUAAUUUCUUAAUUGUUGUAUGAAAUGUCAAGAUCAUUCGCAUAGAAGACAUGCUCUCUUCUGUAAUCCUUUUCCUCACACUCCUCCCUUUAUCUAGUUCUACUCUUCUCAAGAUGUUUUUAAAGCAAGCCCCGUGGUAACAGGUGUUUGGGGAAACGGCUGUUUAGUUUGAAGGGAAGCAAAAGUAGAACGUAGCUGAAUCUUUCUUGCUCAGAGCAGCUCUGGCUGCUGGUGAAUGAACAAAAAUAGCCUCUUCCCUUCCCUGGAGUCAGUGUCCUUGUGAAUACUUGCUGACAUGAUCAUUCCCUUGGGAGAGCCAAAGCCUGGAUUUGCUUCUCUUUAUGUUCGGUAGGUGACCCGGACAGCAGAAAACAACAAUGAUCAUGGAUGUUUGUGGGGGAGUGGAGAGUGUCAUUUAAGCUUAAUAAGUGACUGUGUUCCUCAAAGACAGUGGCAGUUUGAGUCUCUAAAACUCCUUUGAAAUAAUAUGAUCAUUGCGGGGAUACAGCGUCUUGGUGAGGUCAGAUGAGCCAUUUCUAUGUUUGAUAAACUUACGAAUAGAGUAGUUCUAGUCCCAAUUCUUCAACUUCCAAUACUCGUUUACAUAUAUACCUCCCCAAACUCUGCACUUUACUAUUAUAUUUUUUCACAUUUCUCUCUCGGUUAAAACUGAAAACACAUAGCUGGAUACAUUGUAGAAAUGCAAAUCUUAUCUAUGUGGGUGUCUCUAAAAUUUUUACCUCUGUGUUUCUUGGGCCACAUUUAAAUGAGAGAUCUGGGUCAUCACAAUUAAAAGAUCCCAAGGGAACAUUCUCAAAAAGACCGAAGCCACCGCCACGGAGCUUUCUCCUCCGGUCCCGGCUGAGUUUGCUAACUCUGUCCAAAAGAGGGCAGUGCAUUUCCCUCAUUGGCCUGUUCACGUUGGAAAAACAUUCCAUAAAAACAGAUCAUUCUCAGCAUCUCAGAAGUCAAGCACCUUUCUCUUUAUCGAAAUCAGUCUCAGCACACUUCUAGGAAUUACACACCAGUGAAUGUCCGAAACAUAGGACAGACAUGGAGAUUUAAAUAUUCCUUUUGUUAGAAACAGCUCAAUUGCUCAGAGUCCAAACUAGGAACAGAGCAAAAUUUGUGUCUUAAAUGUCCUGAAGCUGUUUCUUUUUGCUGCUUUGCUUUUCUGCUUUUGUUUUGGUCUUUCUAAGCCUCACUGUGAUGGCAGGUCAGGAGAGUUGGUUUUGAACAAUUUGGAAUUAUAAGUAGUUUAAUCUCUUCCCAACACUAGUCAUUAUCAAGUUUUUGCUAUUAUCAACUUGGAUAUUUCUCAUGGGGGGAAAAAGGAGGUUAGAGGCCUGACGAGUCACAGGGCUGGGAAGGGGGCCGGAGCGAGCAGUUUCUCUUAUUGACGGAAGGGCCCGCCACUCUUGGAAGAAAAUUUGCCAUCGAUGACAGCCCCACACCGUUUCCCUUAGAUUGGCACAGUGAUGUUCAACAUAAUGAGACACUGGAUCCAGUGCCAAUCACUCUCUGACUGCCAGUUAGAGUUUCUAUCCUUCCAACUCCACUGCAAGGAAAAUAGUGCUGAGGAAGAAACUGUCCUGAGAAGUCUAGGGGAAGAGUAGGGAAAAACAGCCAGAGGAGAGGAAGCGCUCACUGUCAGGGCAGGAGCUUUGUCCCCUCUAGGACACCAUCCAGAGAUGGAAACCGGCAUCCCGAUGGGCCUCGCCCAGGCCACCUGCUUACUGGUGGAACAACUGAGACUCCAGCGGAGUUUCCCUUGUUUUCACUCCAGUGGUAGCUUGACCCCCAAGCCAGUCCCCAUGAAGCACUCCUGGUGUUCAAAUCCCUGUGCAGUCCUCUCCCACCCUUCCAAAAAAUCUGGACUGUACCUGUGAUUCACCAUAACCAACAGGUUGGGGCAGAAAUCCCACUGCGCUGGUUCCAGGCUUUAAGAAGACUUAGCAGAUUCCACUUGUAUGCUCUUGCAAGCCAUCUACUGAAUAAGAAACCCAGCUACUCCACUGGAGAGAGACCCCUGCCAAGGCCGUGGAGGGUGAGGCUCCUCAUGGAGAGAGAAACCACGUGGAGGAGCGUGGAGGUGCCAGGUGCAAGGGAAGAAGGCAUUUUCACAGUCCCACCCAGGGGAGCCUCCAGAU